ensembl:misc_RNA
UUGACAGCCCCAAAGACUGAAGUGCUCUAUUAAGCCACAGUACAGGUACAUCACCAGCACCAGCUGAGCACAUUUUUCCCAUGCUGUCUCAAUAAUAAGCAUCAACUGCCCUUGUUUGGAGACUGUGGGCUGCUCUUUCUGCAUCCUGCCCAUUCAGCUCUCGAAUUUC